GUUUUCUUACACUUCAGAACAGAAGAGUUCUCUGUUGAAGUUUGAAGAAAACAAGAAGAGGAACCUCUGCUGUCUUCUAAAUGGUGGUAUUUCUAAGAAAUGUCUGAGAUUAUGACAGACUUGCCAAGACAAGAACCCCACCAUUUUGGAGCUUUUUUUUAAAGAACCAAACCUGUGUUUCUACAGAAUCUUAUCACCAGCAGUGAUG